rnacentral:rRNA from 1 species
UUGACCUCGGAUCAGGUAGGUGUUCCUGCUGAACUUAAGCAUAUCAAAA